rnacentral:rRNA from 1 species
CAGCAGCCGCGGGAAAACGGAGGGUGCAAGCGUUAUCCGGAUUUAUUGGGUUUAAAGGGUCCGUAGGCGGAUCUGUAAGUCAGUGGUGAAAUCUCACAGCUUAACUGUGAAACUGCCAUUGAUACUGCAGGUCUUGAGUAAAUUUGAAGUGGCUGGAAUAAGUAGUGUAGUGGUGAAAUGCAUAGAUAUUACUUAGAACACCAAUUGCGAAGGCAGGUCACUAAGAUUUAACUGACGCUGAUGGACGAAAGCGUGGGGAGCGAACAGGAUUAGAUACCCCAGUAGUCCCUGUCUCUUAUAC